rnacentral:rRNA from 1 species
AGGAUGAACGCUGGCGGUCUGCUUAACACAUGCAAGUCGAACGGAGUACCUCGGUACUUAGUGGCGGACGGGUGAGUAACGCGUGAGAAUCUGCCCUUAGGUCGGGGACAACCAUUGGAAACGAUGGCUAAUACCGGAUAAGCCGAGAGGUAAAAGAUUAAUUGCCUAGGGAAGAGCUCGCGUCUGAUUAGCUAGUUGGUGAGGUAAAGGCUCACCAAGGCAUCGAUCAGUAGCUGGUCUGAGAGGAUGAUCAGCCACACUGGGACUGAGACACGGCCCAGACUCCUACGGGAGGCAGCAGUGGGGAAUUUUCCGCAAUGGGCGAAAGCCUGACGGAGCAAGACCGCGUGAGGGAGGAAGGCUCUUGGGUUGUAAACCUCGUUUUCUGGGGAAGAACAAAAUGACGGUACCCAAGGAAUCAGCAUCGGCUAACUCCGUGCCAGCAGCCGC